rnacentral:lncRNA from 10 species
AAGCGUGAGUGGCUGAAACGAAGAGAAUGGACAUGGAGCCCACCCGGAAGAGCACCCUUAACAUCAUCAUAUCCCUGAAGCACGAGUCGGGGUGGUGGGACUGCCCUGGAAACCCUGCACACAGCUGGCUUGAGCACUUUAAUGAAGACAGCUGCCAUUCUGUGAGCUGUUCUAUGAAGGAGCCCACUUGGCAAGGAACUGGGGGAGGUCUCAGAUUAACAGCCAGCAAGAAACUGAAUCCUGCUAACAACCACCUGAAUGAACAUGAAAGCAGACCCUUCCCCAAUUGAGUCUUCAGAUGAGACCCAGUGCUCACCUGCACCUAGGUUGGAGCCCUAAGAGAAACCUUGAAGCAGAGGAACCAGCUUAACCUGAUCCAUGGAAACUAUAAAAUAAAAUGUGUGUUGUUUAAACUGCUAAAUUUCUGGAAACUUAUUACCCAGCAGUACAUAUCUAGUGUAUAAGGAUUUACCAGAAGAAAAUAAUCAUGGAUGUGUGCAAAGAUCUAAACACAAUGACGUUCACUGCAAAUUUUUUAAUAAUUGAGAACAUUUGGAAACAGUGUAAAUGUCAAUGAAUAUAAGGCUGGAGAAAUCAAUUAUAAUACAGGUGAACCAUAUGAAAUCAUUUUUGCAGGUUAAAAAAGGUCGAAUAGCACUAAUUUUAUGUGUUUCAACCUAAUGCAUUCGUAUGAUAUGGACAUGAAAAUAGUAUUUAUGAAAAAUACAAUAUGGGGGAACAUCAUAAAAUUUCAUGAUAUAUUGUUAAGUGAGAAAAAUGGCUUAUAAAGCAAUGAAAAUAUGAUUGUAAUUUUGUGAGAGAGAUAUACAGAUAUGCAUAGAGAAAAAGACUGCAGAUAUACCAAUAAAAAGUGAAUAAUGUUUACCUUC